rnacentral:tRNA from 1 species
AGGCUUUAUAGUCAAUAAUGACAUUAGACUGCAAUUCUAAAGGAGUAAUAUAAUUUACUAAGGCUUA